rnacentral:tRNA from 1 species
GGUGGCAUAGCUCAGUGGUAGAGCAUUCGACUGCAGAUCGAAAUGUCCCCGGUUCAAACCCGGGUGCCUCCU